CGGAACAGAUUUCAGCCAGGCAGCUAGCAAAGCUCGCGGGUGAACUGCACAGGCCAUGGUGGGUGCAGAGCUCAGAGCCGGAAAGCAAACAGCUGCUGUAGCCUGAUUUGAGUUAAAAUAGUGUGAGUGUUUAGUCUGGCGCACGGCUUCAGGGGAGAUUGGCAGCUGGGUCAAACAAAGUCCUUCCAUUGGCUCCCUUCCCAGGCAGCUUCUGCUAGUGUUUAGGUACUAGUGCAGUGUAGAACCCUUUUCUCAGGCAAAACCUAACAUCUGACCGCACCCUUUUUGCUAUUAAAAAAAAAAAAAAGCUUCUAUUUUUUUCCUCCUGUCGUUAAGAUAAAUUCUCCAGUAGACAACCUCUCCCACUAAUUGUGUAUUAGCAACGUAUUUUAUCUUGAGAGCUUGUACACUGGGCUCUCAACGUGGUGUGGAAGGUAGCCUGUUACAGUGCUGGAUUCAUAAAAGGGCCUUUAUGGUUUGUGAAAGAAUAUCUGUGUGCUUAGGGAGGAAACUUUUUGAUCUGCAGAAAAGCCAGAAGACAUCUAGGACAUCCAUAAAAAUUCAUCAGAGAGCAUUUUACUACUGAGCUGCAAAGGGAAAAACUUAAAAUGGAUAUGAAAAGUGAAGAAAGUGAUCAUAGGAGAAAACCAUUUCAGAUGACAAGAGCACCUCAAAGGCAGCAGCCUCAAGGAGCAGCCAUGGCCCCAGACUUGUCGCACGGAUGCAGAAAACUUAAUGGAGGAGGCUGAGGUCAGAAUGGGAAGAGUUUUUAAAAAAUAAAAAGGGGAGCUAAUAUGUGAGGAACUGAUUGCUGUGCAUUAUUUUCCACUGAACAGACCUUCUUUUAACUUCUAAUCUCAAGCACAUAGCAGCUGUUGUUUUCAUAUUAAAGAUCAGUAAGUGUUUGUUGAAUGAAUGUAUAAAUUCUUCCCCAAUCUCUGUUCCAUGUAAUAAGAACUAAGUUAGCAUUCAAUUAUAAAGAGGACUUAGAAAGUCUGCAGACAUUUUUGAUCAAAAAUCCUUUUAACUGUCUUCUUAUGGUUCCCGGUAACACCUAAGCCCAAAAAACUCAGGUCAUUUCUUGCCUGUACUGUUGCAAUAGCCUCAUAAUAACUAGUCUUCUCCUUUAUCAACCACAGUCGUCUCCGCUACACAAAGAAGAGAGGGUGCUAAUCUAAAGUGUAAAUUAUUUUAAAUCAGCACCCUUCUUGUAAUUUCCCAGUGGUUUUUCCUGUCAUAAGAAUAACAUGCAAAAUUCCUUGCUUGCAAAGCCAGGUAUGACCUUGCCCCGUCUACCUUACUGGCAUCGUCUCUCAUGACUCUUCCCCUUUUUCACUCUCCAUCUUGCCUUUUCCCAACCAUGCCUGCUAGUGAGCCUUAGCCCUUGUGUUUUCUCUGCCAGGGAUGCAUGACUGGCUUCUUUACUUUAUUCUGAUCUCUCUGCUCAAAUGUCAUCUUUUUAGAGAUAGCUUUCCUAAACAUCUUUAAAAGUACCCCAUGAACUGUGAAACACCUUUCCUGCUUUUUCUUCAUAGUACUUAUCACUUCCUGAUAUUAUGUUAGACAACAAGCAAAUAAGUAUAUGCUGUUCCCACUAAAAUAUAAGCUCCAUUUGAACAGGAGCCUUGAUUAUUCCUGAGUAUACCCCUAGUGCCCAGAACCUAGUAGGGCUUUAAUAAAUAUUAGAUUCAUUUGUUGAAUGAAAAAAUGAAUGAAUAAUUGAAUAAAGAUAUCCAGGUAGAGUGUCCGGGCAGCCCAACCUAUGUGAAGCCAGUACAAGAAUGUUUCUGUGACAUAGUGAGCGCAAUUAUUCCUCUAAAUGAUGAACUUGCAUGAGUACACAAGGAUAAAAUUAAGCACGUAGUUUAGAUUUCUGCAAGUCUCUUCCUCAGAUUGAGGAAAAACAAAGAAAUUGAGCUUAUUCUCACCUCAUUCUUACAUGAACUAAAUCCAGAAUAAAGCAUCAUUUAAAUACCAAGCACAUCCCUACCUCAGCCACUCAUGGAAUACUUUAUCUGUAAAGGGACAGAUAGAUAGUAAAUAUUUUUGGCUUUGGGGACCGUACAGUCUGUGUCGCCACUACUCAGCACUUCUGUUGAGGUGUGGAAUCAGCCCUAGACAACACAUAAACAAAUGGGUGUGGCUGUGUUCCAAUAAAAUGUUAUUUAUAAAACUAGGAAAUCAGCAGAUUUAGUCCACAGGCUGUAGUUUGCUGACCCUUGAAUUAGAGAGUCUUCCCCAAAUCCUCUUCCCAAGUUAUUGAAAGAAUGCCCAUAGGACCAUAGCUCCCUCACCUGGUUCUUUCAAGAAAUGAGACAAAUUCAGGGAUGGUUGGAGGGUGGAACGCCUACCUGUGACAUGACUAUUGAGCCUGAUUUCUUUCCUUUUAUCUCUUUAAAGUGAGUCAGGUCUUAACUUUAAACUGUCUCUAAAGUGGCAAUAACUGGGCCAUGUCAAAUACUCCCAAUGACAAAAUUUCUUCUUGGAGAAUGAAUGAGGGUUGCAUACAGUGGUGUGUUGGUAAAUGUUUAGCAACUGGCUCUCUUACUGAUUUCUGUAGUGUAAAUUCUCCCAUCCUGGCCAUCUGAAACUACCAAUAUGAUGUCACUUGAUGUAGAGUUGGGAAAAGACAGUCUCUUGAAUAAGUAUGAGCUGGUUCCAGCCCACUGCUGAACACAUAUUUAAAAGCUACAAUAGCUCUGCUCACUGCCAUUGCAGAGUCUGGAGGAAAGAGUAGCAGGCUUGAUAGGAGCAAUUGGCUGAAUAAUCUUUUGCAAUGCCAAUAAAUAAUGAAAAAGUAUAUAAAUAUAACGCUGUAUAGAAAGCUCUCAAGUUCAGUGUUUGGUUAAAAUACAUACUCAGUAAAUGGUAGCUAUUAUUGUCUUAGUUUAAGUUAUUGCAAGCAUUAAAAUUAAAUGUUUAGCUACAGACUCAAUCCAGUUUUAAUGUCAUUGUGUUAAUAAGGCCUCUUAACAUUGAAGCAACAAAGAUAAA
rnacentral:lncRNA from 1 species